CCUCUCUCUCUCUCUCUCUCUCUCUCUCUCUCUCUUUCUCUCUGCCUUUGUUUAUUGUGUUCCUGUACCCAACCUUUCAUCAUCUUUUGCCAGGCAUCCUGGCUGUUACUUGGACCCAACAAUAACUUGCCACCCCAAGCCAGGGUCAUCCCAAGGCCAGGAAGAUGAGGUUGCUCUGAGGGGCUCCAAAGAAUACAAUGGUCCCCACACAUGAGUUUUUCCGUUACUAACAGGCAGCUGGGGCAUAGUUGGCCUCUGAUGUUUCAUUCAAGGCCAAAGUCCUGAGCCCCCCUCUGCUGGUCCCAGUCCAGCUCUUAUCAACUCCCCAAAGGAAAACCCAUUGGUUCUUGGCUCCGAGGACAGGAAGGGGUGGAGUUACUGUCCUGUCAACUCAAGCAUCUGUGGAACGGGAGAAGCUGGGCCCCAGGAGCCCUGUGUCUCCCAGGAGAGGCCAUUGAAAAUACUGGAGCAACAGCGCCUCUGCUUCCAUUUCUCCUUGCCCCACCCCCUCCAGGGCACUCAGGGAGUAGGCGGCAGAAUAAAUGUGCAGGGCCUCCUUUGUUGCUCAUGGCUGGAUAGCUCUUAAGAGUCAGGCUUCCACUCACUUCUCUCCAGAUGAAGGAAAGAAAUUCACAGGUCCCAGAUCUGCCCAUUCAGGUGACACCUAACAUUGGCAUGGUGUCGAUUUACUUUUUUCACGAGUGUGUGUGUGCACAUGUGGGCUUGUGUGCUUUCCGAGAGAAUGUUGUUUGGCCAAAGCAGCACAGUAUUAAUAUUUAGAGUAGGAAGCAGCCUCUUAGGCACCACAGUUAAAAACUAAGAGAACGAACAAAAUUUCAGAGCUUGAGACCUGGGACAUUUAAAUCCUCAAGGGGUUUGGAACAAAAUAAACAGAUCUAAAUGUUUGGUUUGAGUAUGUAUGUUGUCUAGGAGGGCGUAAUAGUUUUAACCUGGUUAACAGCAAGAAAUUUGGCUUCACAGUUGAAGUUUCAUUCCAAACAGUAUUUCUGCCUGGUUCUCUGAGGUCUGGGAACGCUGACAGUGGAAGAGAGAAACUGGGGGGAAAACUGUUUCGGAU
ensembl:lncRNA